UACGUAGGGUGCAGGCGUUAAUCGGAAUUACUGGGCGUAAAGCGUGCGCAGGCGGUUUGCUAAGACAGGUGUGAAAUCCCCGGGCUUAACCUGGGAACUGCGCUUGUUACUGGCAGGCUUGAGUGUGGCAGAGGGGGGUGGAAUUCCACGUGUAGCAGUGAAAUGCGUAGAGAUGUGGAGGAACACCAAAGGCGAAGGCAGUGUCCUGGGGAGUACCUGACGCUCAGGUGCGAAAGCCAGGGGAGCGAACGGG
rnacentral:rRNA from 1 species